rnacentral:lncRNA from 1 species
ACUUAGCAACGGGCUGCAAGAAGAGACGACUUCGGAGGGCCCAGGGUCCUUUGAGCUCCUAGAGGUCCCGUGUGGAACCAUCUGGAAGAGGUAGGAUCCCCUCGCGAGUUUACCCCGGACGUGUGGCGAAUAAAGUUAAGCAUUUUUAACGGUGAUCACCAGAACGCACCUUUGGAUGCUGCAGCAUAAAGUCCACGGCUUCUUCAAAGUACUCCAGAUGUACAUCAUUCAGAUCUUCGGGGAGGUCUUCAAAUCUGAAAUAAGCCAGGGCAAGCACAGCAAAACCAUGUCCGGCCAGGAGGCUGGCCCUGUAUUCACAAAGGCCCCUGCUGCUCCCAAACAGAUCAAUGAUCCCAGGAAAGGGCCCCCUGCCUGGAGAACAUCACAAAUCACAGGGAGCUUUAGUUUCUCAAAAGACAGUAAGCAAACAAGUUUUUGAAGCCAAGGAGAUUGGGGGUAGAGAGAUUGGCAGAGAAAGAACAAAAUGUCUUAUUUUCUCAAACAAUAAUGAUAAUAUAGAGGGAUAAAAAACUACAUAUUGGGUACAAUGUAUACUACUCAGGCGACAGGUGCACUAAAAUCUCAGCGUUCAUCACUGUACAGUUCAUCCGUGUAACCCCAAACCACCUGUACACCAAAAGGUAUUGAAAUUAA